UACCUGAUGGCUCAGACGGUAAAGAAUCUGCCUGCCAAGCAGGAGUCUCAGGUUUGAUGCCUGGUCAGGAAG
rnacentral:tRNA from 1 species